AGAAAUGUUUGACAGAGAAAUGCGUUGGAAAAGGAGACAAGAGCGGGACGGGGUGGCGGAAAAUAGCGGUGCUGCUGGUCGGAAUGGAAAAGAGACGCAGGCGGGUGAAUAAGAGGCGCUGACUUGGAUACAUCGCAUGUAAGCCAGUGU
ensembl:ncRNA ZK185.6 ncRNA